rnacentral:rRNA from 1 species
ACGAAGGGGGCUAGCGUUGCUCGGAUUUACUGGGCGUAAAGGGCGCGUAGGCGGACAGUUAAGUUAGGGGUGAAAUCCCGGGGCUCAACCUCGGAACUGCCUUUAAAACUGGCUGUCUUGAGUACGGGAGAGGUGUGUGGAACUCCGAGUGUAGAGGUGAAAUUCGUAGAUAUUCGGAAGAACACCAGUGGCGAAGGCGACACACUGGCCCGUUACUGACGCUGAGGCGCGAAAGCGUGGGGAGCAAACAGG